rnacentral:rRNA from 1 species
AUUGAACGCUGGCGGCAUGCUUUACACAUGCAAGUCGAACGGCAGCACGGGUGCUUGCACCUGGUGGCGAGUGGCGAACGGGUGAGUAAUGCAUCGGAACGUGCCCAUGAGUGGGGGAUAGCCCGGCGAAAGCCGGAUUAAUACCGCAUACGCCCUUAGGGGGAAAGCGGGGGAUCUUCGGACCUCGCGCUAUUGGAGCGGCCGAUGUCGGAUUAGCUAGUAGGUGAGGUAAAGGCUCACCUAGGCGACGAUCCGUAGCUGGUCUGAGAGGAUGAUCAGCCACACUGGGACUGAGACACGGCCCAGACUCCUACGGGAGGCAGCAGUGAGGAAUAUUGGUCAAUGGACGAAAGUCUGAACCAGCCAUGCCGCGUGCAGGAUGAAUGCCCUAUGGGUUGUAAACUGCUUUUAUAUAGGAAUAAACCCUUUACGUGUAAAGGGCUGAAGGUACUAUAAGAAUAAGGACCGGCUAACUCCGUGCCAGCAGCCG